UACGUAGGGGGCAAGCGUUGUCCGGAAUCAUUGGGCGUAAAGAGCGUGUAGGCGGCCUGGUAAGUCCGCUGUGAAAGUCCAGGGCUCAACCCUGGAAUGCCGGUGGAAACUGUCAGGCUCGAGUCCGGAAGAGGCGAGUGGAAUUCCUGGUGUAGCGGUGAAAUGCGCAGAUAUCAGGAGGAACACCGGUGGCGAAGGCGGAUCUCUGGGCCGAUACUGACGCUGAGGAGCGAAAGCGUGGGGAGCGAACAGG
rnacentral:rRNA from 1 species